AGCAGGGUGGCCUAGUGGGGAGAGCACUGGCUAGGGAGUCAGAGGAACUGGGUUCUAAUCCCAGCCCUGCCA
rnacentral:tRNA from 1 species